CUUGCUGCCUAUUUUCAUCUGAAUUAAUGUGUCUCACAGAUCCCCUCCUUAAGCUGAUUCUCCAGAAAGCCACGGGGUCAUGGGAAAUGGACUCCUCAAUGGCUAAAGUGUUGGAGAAGUCAGAUGACGAGUUGGCCAAACUGAUGCCCUUGGGGGUAAAAAGUGGUCUUAUAUUAAUCAUCUCAACAAGCCAAAGAGCUACAGCAAUCAUAGAAUAAUUUUAGGAAUGUUGAACCUAGUUAUGCAUCCUGUCAAGGCUGUGUGGGCUACAACUCUGGCUCUGAUUUGGCUCUAUGGUUUGCGGCUGGAGGCCCAGGAAGAAUGGCAGUUUGUAGCCAUGAAGGCAGCGUCCUGGAUUCAAGCUCAGAAAGUGGGCUGUGUGUCUCAGUGUGUGCAGGCUGGAAAUGCUCUGCUGGGAUGCCAGGUGCAGCAGAAGACCCUGGGGCUCUGAGGUGACCAUGGAUGGAUUAUGAAACCAUGGGCCCCACAAAUAAGAGAUACAUAACAGCGACUUCACACAGAGGCUCUGGCUUAGGGGCCCUCUGAGCUCAUGAGCCCCUGGGCCUGUUCGGUAAUCCAUCCCUGGAGGUGACCAUUCCUGUCCCUCUGUAGAAUGUGUCAUUAAUUAAACGGACAUAAACACAUCGGACUCAUCACUGAUUCAGAUGACAAAUUGUAGUCCUGCCCAGAAAGUUUCCUGCUCUAUUUGUUCCCGAUAAUGAAAUAUUUCUUGUGCUUUCCUUGGAGUUCUUACUUUCUAAGUCUACUUGGCAAUGAAUAUGUGUACUUUUAGUCGAGUGCGGCUGUUCUUGCUGACGUUAGAAUCAUUUAUGGCGUCAGAGUUAGAUAAAUUAGCUAAAUCUUAAGUAUAUAAACCCUGUGCGAUGUUAGUGAAAUUGCUUCACUUUCAUCCUUGUGAUGUGAGUGAGCCCGAUUGCAAUUGUUUGUAAUAAAUAUACUGAUCUACAACUCCGGAGUCCUGAGAUAACUUGAGUGAAAUUUCACCUAACAAUACCUGUCCUUCUGUAGAAUGUGUCAUUAAUUAAAUGUGACAAACAUAUCGGACUCAUCACUGAUUCAGAUGACAAAUUGUAUUCUUGCCCAGAUAGUUUCCCAUUCUAUUUGUUCCCAAUAAUAAAAUAUUUGUUGUGCUUUC